rnacentral:rRNA from 1 species
UACGUAGGGUGCAAGCGUUGUCCGGAAUUAUUGGGCGUAAAGAGCUCGUAGGCGGUUUGUUGCGUCGGCUGUGAAAUCCCGAGGCUCAACCUCGGGUCUGCAGUCGAUACGAGCAAACUAGAGUGUUGCAGGGGAGACUGGAAUUCCUGGUGUAGCGGUGAAAUGCGCAGAUAUCAGGAGGAAACACCGGUGGCGAAGGCAGAUCUCUGGGCCGCAACUGACGCUGGAG